AAACAACCUUUGAGCGACUCCCUUCAUGUUCGGUGACUUGAAAGUCCAAGAGAUCAGUCAGCCCAGUGCUGGUGCUGCUAAGACUCUGGUGGGUCCCCAAGACUUCCAGGAACCAAAGGGAGAUAUGGAAGCUACAUCUGACUGCUUUCCAAACCUAGAUACAACCCAAGCUCCUGGAGUAAACAUCCAACUCCGACAAGUCAUUGGGACCAGUAAUGGACGUUUGAGGUAGAAGGAACAUUUGGACUUUGUGUGAUUCUGGUUUGAAAACCCCAGUGCUCCAAGAUGUGAGUGAACAGAAGGAGUAUUGUGUCCCCAGAGCUGAGAGGGGCGCACCCACUGGGCCAGAGAACGGGGAUCCAGAAAUCAUACGAUGGCCAGGAUGCUGCUGGCAGGUUGCAUUGAGUUUUGAGAUUUUUGCCAGGACAAAACACUGAUUUAACAAGGAGAGGAUCCUAGAUAUCCACAGUUGGUCUCCAGGUCACUAUGUAGCUGAGUCUCCAGCUCCAGAAAGAACAAAGAACGUGGCCUCGCACAAUGCAGCCUGCGUUGGGGAUCAACAGAGUACACACUAAUCUGCAGACUCCCGGGGAUCCCUUGGGACGGCUCACUUCACUUACACUCUGGAAAGGAGAAGAGCAAGCUGUCAAGACCAUCUCAAAUCCAUCGCUCAGGAAGUGCAAAUGGAUUGAGGGUGUUUCAUUGACUGCCGAUUUCCUGGGGGUGGGGGAUAUGUAUGCAAAGAGCAGGCAUAAGGAAAAGUGCAAUAUCUGCCAAGCUCUGCUGCAGGGGAACCGUGGCUCUGAGAACAUCUGCAGGGCUGGUCCCUGCACUGCUGGCCCCCUGGAGGGUUUGGUUCAUCUGCAUCAGCAGGUCCCUCUGUGGCCAAUUUAUUCUGGACCAUCUGGGUGGACUGAGGUUCUCUGUAGAUGAUGGUGGGUCAGAUUUACUUCUCAUUGCUGCUUUUAAAGACUUGGUACGGAAUCUAUCAACGAUGUAAUUGGCAUAUCACUUGUUCAUGUUGCUGGGCUCCAGGGCUCAUUUACUGGGACAGCAGAGCUGUCAGGAGUCAGUUUUGCUUUUGACCACAUUUUAGGUGACCGAGUUCCCGUGGGACUUGAUACCUGAGCAGUGUGUCCUCCACACCACUCCCAGGGGGCAGAGCCUCUCCCAGUGGUGACUUUUAUAGGGGAAGAGCCCCAAGGUCAGUAUAUAACACCUGUAAGUGCCUCAAGGCCCAGUGCUGCUAGUAUCUGUAUUAAUAUUCGUAUCCCCACAUUUCUGUGGAAGGCUCCACUAGCUCAUAUCCUAGAAAGAAGUGGUGUGGGGUUCUGCAAAGGGACCCCCCAAAGUAGCUCUGUCAGUCUCUGCUUGUGGUAGAUGGCAGAUGAGCCCAGAAUUUGGGGGAGACAGUGGUUUAAAAAUCUUUUUAAAAAUUGAACUGGCUAGGAAUUAAAAAUGGAUGGAUUAGUUACAUAGCUCCCAUAGUUCCCUGAGGCAAGCAAUAAGACUCCAGACUCAACUGUCUUCCAGCUGUGUGAGUGAAAAGAGGAUUCCAGAAGCCAGCUCUGCCCACCUUCUAAUCUCCAGUCCCACCAGAAGGCACUCCACUAAGUACAUCCCCACAGUUAGUUCUCUCCUGUUCCAAGCCAGUGUUUUUUAUGCUUCCUGACUGAUUUGUGUAACUGGUGUUAAAAAUACUAGCUGCUCUGUUUUCAGAAACAAUUUAACAUAACCAAACUCUCUUAGACAUUAGAUCAGUUUUUUUUUUUUGUUUUUUUGUUUUUUUUUUUUUUUUUUUUUGGCUCUAAACAUCUCUUCUUCAAGUUGAAAUUCCCAACUUUUGUUUUGUUUUGUUUUACCUUGCCCCCAGAGUCCCCUGAGAAACUAGCAACAACACGAAUCACAAUGACACAAAGCACCUGGUGGGCAAGGCUGUGCUGUUAUUCCCAGCCCUAGGAUUUGCUGGGUUGGUCCUCAAUGAAUUGGCGGAUACUUAGUGGAUAAAUUCUAUCUCGUUCCUUUGUUCUCAGCUCAUUAUUUUUCCUCUUUAUUUAGCAUUCUUGGAGAAUGUGCAGCCUACCUAACUGGACUGAACCAAUGGUUCUCACAAUGUGGCUACAUCAAUCGAGACUGGGGAGAUUCUACAUAGCACUUCCAGUACUUAGAUAAGUUUGAACUGUCAUGAUCCUCAUGGAAACACCUACGUAGGCAGGCAGGAGAAGAGGGCUGACUGCCCUUCACAUAAAAGCCACCUGCAGGCAGAUACCUACUUGUUUCCAUACAUGACAGUCUUGAGUACUUAUUAAAGAGUAUUUUCUUUCACUUUAAAAAAAAUAUUUAUUUGUUUAUUUUAUGUAAAUACACUGUCUUCAGACACACUAGAAGAAGGCACUGGAUCCCAUUGCAGACAGUUGUGAGCCACCAUCUGGUUGCUGGGAAUUGAACUCAGGACCUUUGGAAGAACAGUCAGUGUUCAUAACUGCUGAGCCAUCUCUCCAGCCCCUAAUUACUAUUUUCAACACUCCAUUUAGUCCCUUACCAAUCCCAUGAGGCAGAACCAUAUCACAGAUCUAAACACCGAGGCUAGAGAGGCUGAAAGAAGGCAGUUCUGCUGUAUGCUCUCCGCCCCUCACCCCUGUCCCACCCCCUACUCUCCUGCCUCCUCUUUGCAUUAAUCUUUCACCCUUUUAAAGGCUACUUUAAACUGAUUUUGCUUGAAGCGAGUAUGGGCAAGCUAUUAAUCUCUGUUUUUCAACCAUGUCCUAGUCAGUCAGUGAUGACACAUCCCUGUGGAAAUGAGGGUGAUAAUUUCGUUGACCAAUCUUUGGUCCCUCAUUUCCCUGCAUAUAAAUCUACUGAUAUUAUGGACUUUGAAGAAAAAAAAAGUCUUAUCAGUAGCUGAUCGAUUUGUAUGCAGCAAGAAGUGAAAAGCCAGAGUGUGCAUGUGUAUGGUGUUUAGUAAUGUCAGCGACUAAAACUCAAGACGUUACAUUAAUCUGCCAGAGACUUAUUGAUGUACAUGAUGAUUAUGUUGCACGGCACUUAGGCAUCAGUGAGAAGCGUCCUACAGAAAUGAGUGUCACUGGUGUGAAUUUACAUAGGUUUCCUUUGAUAAUGUUGUUAUCCAACAUUAUCCAGCUAUUCAUAUCGGUUUAAACCAAAGGGAGAUUAUUGGCCCUCACAAUGGAAAUAUCUGGGGUGAAUUCAGUCACUGAUUCUCUCUGUACCCCAAUGCAGGACCUCAUACAGCUCAGACUGGCCCCCGACUCCUUAUAUCGUCAAGAAUGACCUUGAACUUCGCAUCUUCCUGCCUCUACCUGCCAAAUGCUUGGAAUAUGGGUGUGCACCACCGUUCACAGACUGAAAUGUCUUUGGUCAAAGCAACUCAAUUCUAGAUGCAGAGAAAGGGGCAGUUGGGUGCAAGUGUUAGAAAGAAAAGGCAAAGGUGAGACGAAGUGUAGCCAGAGUAUAAUUCAAAUGUCAUAUGAUGUUGAUUUUAAUAAGGAAGGAGAAAAAGGAGGCAGGGUUAAGUGUGACGAUGUCAGAUCCACAGCACAGAAGAUGAUUGGUUCAUAACAAAUUGCUGAGUAUUUUAGAGAAGGUAGCAGAGAGGAUCUUUCAUGUUUCCUAUACAAGAAAAGGAUACAUAGUUGAAGUUAUGAGCAUCUAAUACCUGGAUAUUACACGUUGCAGCUGUAUAGUGAAAUGUUACACUCUAAUCCACUGAUACCUACAACUAUGAUGUGUCUAAAUAUCAAAAAUACAGAUAGGUUUUUUGAAGGAGGCAGGAAGGAAAAUGACACACAAAAGUAACAGAAAGAAGAAUUCUGAAGACUGAAGGCAGAAACAAACUCUCCUGGUUUCCCAACUUUGCUGAUAUUAGCUCAGUAGCCUGAACAAGGAGAAUGGCCCCAGACUCAUCUUAGCGGAAAUUCUGUUGUACUGGUUCUCUCAAGGCUUUUUAGUUUAUUGAAUGGAAACUCAGGCUUAUAAACUCAGUGAUAGCUCUUCUCUGAGGAUCCUCAGGAGCCUGAACAAUCACUGCUGAAUGGUAUCAUUAUUCCAACUAACGAGAAGUACAGGUAAAAGACCACAGGAGAAGCCUGGCUCUCAGCUAGACAAGGCUCCUCCUAAGGUGUCUUAAGGAAAUCAGACUUGAAUUGCUGUGCUGUUGUAAUCUGCGAUUUUGCAAAGCAGACUUCAGAGUAUCUUGAAUUUGAAUCAAGGAGAGAGAGAAAGAGAGAGAGAGAGAGAGAGAGAGAGAGAGAGAGAGAGAGAGAGAGAGUUAGCUGUGGCUGGUAAGUCACAGAAGUAAGGGUAUCUCCCACAUUGGAGAUGUUGCUCCCCUCGGAGUAACAUUAUCAGUAUUGAUUAUUAGAGUUUGAAAGCUUUUUUAUUUUUGAGAGGCUCGUCCUCAGGGCUACCUGCUCUGAGAUGUGACCACAUGGGUCAGACCCCUUAAGGUAUUCUAAAGACUUCCCACUGAGUCUGCAAUACUAGGACCAAAAAGUGACAAUAUAAUUUAAAAUGUUUUAAUUAAUUAAUUGACUGAUUAAUUAAUUACAGUACUAGGAAUCAAACCCAGGGCCCCUCAUAUGCUGGCAAGUGAUUUACCACUGAGUCACAGGAUGGCUCCUUGGUUUUUUGUUCUUUUUUUUUUGUGAUAUUCACUCCUCAGUAGGAGAAAGAGUUGAAGACAUGUGUCAAACAGUGUUCUAAAAAUAGCAAUAAAGAGAAGCAGCACCAGGAAAUUGUCCUAAUCACCCUGUUUCCUAUAGAAAAACUGCGGUGUUAUUGUCAUGUCUGCACUGUGUAGCUGAGCAGUUAUGAACAGUGAUGACAGGAAGUGCUAGGAAUGGCGUGAGGUGGACCAGCCGAGGAUAAAGCGGGGGGAGGGGGAGAGAGCACAAAGAACGAAGUCCCUCUUAUGUCUUUCAUUAAAAAAAAUGAUUUAUUUAUUUACUUAUUUUAUGUAUGUAUGAGUACACUGUCACUGUCUUCAGACACACCAGAAGAGAGCAGCAGAUCCCAUUACUGAUGGCUGUGAGCCACCAUGUGGUUGCUGGGAAUUUAACUCAGGACCUCUGGGAGAGCAGUCAGUGCUCUUAACCACUGAGCCAUCUCCAGCCCUCCAGUUCUUUUCUUUUCUUUUCUUUUCUUUUCUUUUCUUUUCUUUUCUUUUCUUUUCUUUUCUUUUCUUUCUCUUCUCUUCUCUUCUCUUCUCUUCUCUUCUCUUCUCUUCUCUUCUUUUCUUUCUCUCCUCUCCUCUCCUCUCCUCUCCUCUCCUCUCCUCUCCUCUCCUCUCCUUUUCUUUUCUUUUCUUUUUUAAAUCUUUUAAUUUAUAUUUUUGAAAAAUUUACACAAUAUAUUUUGAUUAGUCAUCCUCUUCCCCCAGUUCAUUCCAGAUCAUGCCCCACCUCCUGACACUCAGCCACUGUUCCCCUCUCUUUAAAAACAAAGAAAAACAAACAGUGCUUCCCCUCCACUCAAAAACCAAAACACCUUGGAGUCCAGUUUGUGUUAGUCAACUACUCCUAGGCCUGGAGCCUGCCCUGGAGUGUGGUAGAUAUACCAGUGGUAGCUUCACUGAAGAAAACAAACCUUUCUGCUCACUGCAGCAAUCUAAUGCCAACAGCUCCUUCACUAGGGAUGGGACUCGGUGCCCACUUGUGUCCCACUCUGGCUUUAGGUUGGGCAGGUCCAUGGCUAUCACAGUCUCUGUGCAUCUAUCUGUCUUACUGUGUUGGAAAAUACUUUUUUCCUUGCGGUCCUCCCCUACCACCUCUGACAUUUACAAUUUUCCCACUUCCUCUUUCACAUAGAUAGAUUCCCUGAGCCUUGAGGGCAGGGCUGCGAUAUAGACAUCCCAUUUAGGACUGAGUGCUGCAAAGGCUUUUUUCUGUCUCUGCACAUUGUUCCUGUGUGGGUGUUGUUUAGUUAUUGUCUGUAAGAAGAAGUUUCUCUAACAGGCUGAGCAUUGGUCUAUGGGUAUAACAAUGUAUCUUUAGGAGUGAUUUUUAUUUCCAUGUCUGUUUGACAGAGUCAUAGUAAUAAGUCUCUGUCCCUAGGGUCCCUGGCCUAUACAGCUCAGGUUCUUGGCCUCAACAGUGUUGGGGAUGGCUUCUGUCUUAUGGAGAAGGACUUGCAUUCAAUAGAAUGUGGCUGUUUAUAUUCCCAUAAUAGUCAAGGUACAAUGUAUCAGAAAUCCUAGUGCUUAACUUUGAGGUAUCAUGUACAAUGGAACCAAAGAUUAACAUCUAAACGGUGUUGGCUGUGCUCUCAGAUAAAAAUAGUCAUCAUGGCUUCAUGAACACGUAAGACUCUUCACUGCAGUCAUGGCUUGUUCUUGUGUUUAACAUGUGAAUGCUGCCAGGACAGAUCUGAAAUCACCAUCAGGUAAUAUAUUAACAAGCAGCAUCCCAGUGUCGGAACUGAACCAUGGAGUACUUGUAUACAGCUCAUUGCCCUUGGGCCAGUGAGCUAGCUCAGUAGAUGAGGACAUUUGCCAUCAAGGGUAAAGAUCUAAGUUUGAUGUCAGGGAUCCAGAUUUGGGGCAGGGGGUGGGGGGGGGGUGGAGAAAGGAACUGACUCCUAGCAGAUGUCUUCUUAGCUUGACAGGUGUAACUUACAUGUGUGUGUGUACACACACAAUGGAAAGCUCAUUGCUCUUGGCCUUAGUUUCUAUUUUUCACAUGUUUUCCAAAUCCAAGAGCCUUGCUAGUGUCAGCAAUCUAGAGCUAGAUCUCUGAAGCUGACUGGUCUUAUCAAGAAGCUGAUUUUCCCAUGACAAAGGCCACUACUGGUGACCAUGAAGAUCUGAGGCUCCCCAUAGAACCUCCUUCAGACAGAUGCACUUGAGGCCUGGAGACAGACAAGGGAUGAGUCUGCCCUCUUACUACUCUAUCCCAAAGCCAUAGAAAAGGACAGCGAUGACAGAAAAUGAAGUGAGAGGCAGCUCUGGAGACAGUGACGUAAUCUGUAAUCAGGGAGUUUUGGGUCAAUCAAGUCUUCAGCAAGGGACGACCAACUCACAACGUUUGCAUAGGGUGAUUUCACUCUUGCUCCACCUUGAGCCAAUAGUGGUAGGUUCCUUCCAUUUCUCAUCAUGCACUCACAAUGUGCUAGGUGACUUGGGCUAGGAAUGCUCCCUAGAACUUGACACUGCCCAUUGUCUUCUUUUCUCAUUGUCCUUCUUUGGUGUAGUAAAAACCAAAGGUGCGGGUAGGGGGGUGAGGUGGGCAGGGAUGCCCUUAAAUUGUGCUUCCAUGAGACUCAGCAGUUUCUUUUGACUGACUACCUAGCAGUCUAAAGAUCAGAAGGUAAACUCUAUGUGCCCUGUCUUGUUUGGCAACCAUACCUGGCUACAGACGAUUUUGUCAAUGUGCUACGUUCACUGUUAAUCUAACUGCUAGCAAGACCCAUUUUUCUGGCCUUAAAGUAGACCAAAAGUUGAGUGGUGUGUGUGUGUGUGUGUGUGUGUGUGUGUGUGUGUGUGUCUGUGUGUGUGUAUGUGAUGUGCAUUCGGGUACACUUGUUCAGGAAUGCACAUUCCAUGUAUGUCUGUAUAUUGGCUUGAAGACUGAAAUCCAGUUUACUGAGAAGUAGAAACCUGCAGAAUUAAAAUAUUCUUGAACUCCAGAGAAAAAUGACCAUGGGUAUAUAGCAGACAAGUAUGAAUAUAGUGGUUCUGGGGGUCAGAGGUCAAAUGACUUGCCACACAAGCCUGAUGACAUGAGUUCAAUCCCUGGAGCCUACCUAAAAAACUGCAUGUGGUAUCUCCCAGCACAACAUUCCUGUGCCAAGAUGAAAGGGCAGAGCCAGGAGUGUUGGCCAAGAGCUCAUGGGCCAGCUAGCCUGGAGAAGGAUGCACAGCUGUAGAGACUCAGGCUCAAACAAGGUAUAAAUUGAGAACUAAUUUCAAAAAGGUAUCCUUUGUCCUUCAUACACUGGCACCCACAUGCCUGCCCCUGUAUGUGCACACCCACAGAUUUAUGAAGUGAGAAGGUGUUUUUAGCCGAGAGAUGGCCUCCUGUUUUGUGUAAAGAUGAAUAUUCGGCCGGAGCUUUUCCUUCUACUUCCUUGUAGAUUUCCAAUUAUGUUCAGUUUUAAGUACCUGAUCUUUUAAAGCCCCUGUAUGCUGCUUCUGGUUAAGUCUUCCUUUUGGAACAGUCUAUGUUUCCCGGAUGUGCUAGUGGUAAGGGAGGGAGCAGGGCUCAUGUUAUGGGCAAAUCCCAGGGCCACUCUUCUGCCUACUCUGCCUUCUCUAAGUGAUUGAAAAGCGCACUUGACACACAUUCCUUUUCUAGAGAUCAAGCCAUAAUUAAAUCCAGGAAACCUUGCUGACGGUGGAGCCCGCAGGUGUUAGAUUUGCUAUUUGUUCUUGCAAAAGCCCACAGUUCUGGUUUGUAUGUGGCUGCCACUGGCAGGGCCAGUUAAGGUGACUCUGAAAUGUUUGUUCUGCCUGCCGUUCAUUUUGUUUGGUGAAAAUGAAAGCCUGCCAGCAGAGUGGAGCUGCUUGGAAUACAGAUGUAGGCAUUUUCUUACAAAACUCAAGAAGACUAAAGGUUAGUUCCCUACUGGGCCAACAAAUAAGAAACCAUCACUGAGCAGUUAAGAAUAGGUAAAUACAAACGGCUCUUGCAAGGGGGAGAUGUCUGGUGGAAUGCCUGUGUGGAACGCAGGCUUAACAGCUUCAUCAAAGAGAAUGUGUUAAAUGCUCAUUAACUAAAUGUACAAAUGAUUCCCAAUUGGGAGGUGUUACAAACAACAGAGGAAACACACACACACACACACACACACACACACACACUAAUUACAUGCAUGUAUGCACACAAAGCAGAAAAUGCAGUAAACGUCGGCUUGGCAAACAGACCUGAGAUUAAAUCGUCAUAAAUAUAGACAGCAGCAACAUAUGCUCCCUCCAGAGUUAAGUUGAGAAUUCUUGAAUGGCAAGAUUCAGGAUUGGCAGGAUGGCUUAGUGGCACUUGUUGAGGUUCGGUCUUUUGCUAUGUAUUGUAAUGUUAAAUACUGACCCCCCCCCCCCCCCAUGACAAGG